UACGGGGGGGCAAGCGUUGUUCGGAAUUACUGGGCGUAAAGGGCUCGUAGGCGGCCAACUAAGUCGGAUGUGAAAUCCCCAGGCUUAACCUGGGAACUGCAUCCGAUACUGGAAGGCUUGAAUCCGGGAGAGGGAUGCGGAAUUCCAGGUGUAGCGGUGAAAUGCGUAGAUAUCUGGAGGAACACCGGUGGCGAAGGCGGCAUCCUGGACCGGCAUUGACGCUGAGGCGCGAAAGCCAGGGGAGCAAACGGG
rnacentral:rRNA from 1 species